rnacentral:lncRNA from 1 species
AGGCACCUUGCAAGCAUUGCUCCCUUCCUUCCUUCAAACAUAACACCAACAAGAGGCUUUUUCUUCCCCACCACUAUCAUCAUCGUUGCCUUCUUUUUUGCUCAUUCUUCACCGACAAACUAAUAGCUCCAUCCUUGAGCUAUUCAACAUAUAUGUGAGCUUGGUGGAAGAAUGUCAUGGUGGUAGAUGUAGAGCUGGAAGCAGCGAGUGAAUAUGUGGUGGCAGCGGAAGAAGAAAUGGCUAAGGAGAUUUGAUGUGUAGCGGC